UUAGGUUUAAAAUCAGAUUUAAAAAAAUAUAUAUACAUUUUAGCAAUGGUCGGGGUUUAUGAAUUGUGUGGCUGUGGUAACUAGUGACGACCGUGUUUGAGGGGGAAGGUCAGAAUCUUCUUAUAGCUCAAUCAGUUCAGAAUGGUGCAAGUGCUUAAGAAGUUGAUUGGGGCUAAGUACAUUGCCAUCGCCAGGACGUGGGUUCCCACAAUGGCUGGUUGGGGGUCGGUGGGCGGAGUUGCCCUUGUCUACUUUACAGACUGGAGGCUGAUCCUGGACUGGGUGCCCUAUAUCAACGGCAAGUUCAAGGACGACUAGAGUCACCUCUAUGGCUCAGAUUGGACUAUGACUUGGAGAUGGGCAUGGGUGGAGUGCUUGCUCUUUCUGCGUUGGCUAAAGUGGGAUGACGCGACACAGAGCUUGUAGGGGUUUGCACAACAGGAUGUCAUGUUAGCUUGAAUGCUGUUUUGUUAUUUAAUGUCAAUAAAUGUAAUUUAAUUAC